rnacentral:rRNA from 2 species
CCUACGGGAGGCAGCAGUGGGGAAUCUUGCGCAAUGGGCGAAAGCCUGACGCAGCAACGCCGCGUGCGGGAAGAAGGCUUUCGGGCUGUAAACCGCUUUCAGCAGGAACGAAAAUGACGGUACCUGCAGAAGAAGGAGCGGCCAACUAUGUGCCAGCAGCCGCGGUGAUACAUAGGCUUCAAGCGUUGUCCGGAUUUAUUGGGCGUAAAGAGUUCGUAGGCGGUCGAGUAAGUCGGGUGUGAAAAUUCUGGGCUCAACCCAGAGACGCCACCCGAUACUGCUUAACUUGAGUUCGAUAGGGGAGUGGGGAAUUCCUAGUGUAGCGGUGAAAUGCGCAGAUAUUAGGAGGAACACCGGUGGCGAAGGCGCCACUCUGGAUCGACACUGACGCUGAGGAACGAAAGCAUGGGUAGCAAACAGGAUUAGAUACCCUGGUAGUCCAUGCGGUAAACGGUGGGCACUAGGUGUGGGUUUCUAUUAACGAAAUCCGCGCCGUCGCUAACGCAUUAAGUGCCCCGCCUGGGGAGUACGGUCGCAAGACUAAAACUCAAAGGAAUUGACGG